UGCGCGAGUCAUUGGGAUAUUGACUAAACCUAAAGGCGCAAUGAAAGUGAAGGUCCGCCUUGCGCGGGCCGAGGGAGGAUGGGCGGUCCCAAGGGAUCGUCUCGCACUCCCGGGGCGUCUCGUUCUCAUCGCGAGAAGAGGGCGCACCCAGAGCGUACACGCUGGGACCCGAAAGAUGGUGAACUAUGCCUGGUCAGGACGAAGUCAGGGGAAACCCUGAUGGAGGUCCGUAGCGAUUCUGACGUGCAAAUCGAUCGUCGGAACUGGGUAUAGGGGCGAAAGACUAAUCGAACCAUCUAGUAGCUGGUUCCCUCCGAAGUUUCCCUCAGGAUAGCUGGCGCUCGCUUCUCGCGAGUCUCAUUCGGUAAAGCGAAUGAUUAGAGGCAUUGGGGUCGAAACGGCCUCAACCUAUUCUCAAACUUUAAAUGGGUGAGAUCUCCGGCUUGCUUGAACUGUGAAGCCGCGAGAUAUCGGAUCAGAGUGCCAAGUGGGCCACUUUUGGUAAGCAGAACUGGCGCUGUGGGAUGAACCAAACGCUGAGUUAAAGCGCCUAAAUCGACGCUUAUGGGAUACCAUGAAAGGCGUUGGUAACUUAAGACAGCAGGACGGUGGCCAUGGAAGUCGGA
rnacentral:rRNA from 1 species